rnacentral:rRNA from 1 species
GUAGGGAAUCUUGCGCAAUGGGCGAAAGCCUGACGCAGCCAUGCCGCGUGAAUGAUGAAGGUCUUAGGAUUGUAAAAUUCUUUCACCGGGGACGAUAAUGACGGUACCCGGAGAAGAAGCCCCGGCUAACUUCGUGCCAGCAGCCGCGGUAAUACGAAGGGGGCUAGCGUUGCUCGGAAUUACUGGGCGUAAAGGGAGCGUAGGCGGAUAGUUUAGUCAGAGGUGAAAGCCCAGGGCUCAACCUUGGAAUUGCCUUUGAUACUGGCUAUCUUGAGUAUGGAAGAGGUAUGUGGAACUCCGAGUGUAGAGGUGAAAUUCGUAGAUAUUCGGAAGAACACCAGUAGCGAAGGCGACAUACUGGUCCAUUACUGACGCUGAGGCUCGAAAGCGUGGGGAGCAAACAGGAUUAGAUACCCUGGUAGUCC